UCGCUUUGGGAGGAGCUCGCUUACUAUCAGCUUGUUGGUAGGGUAAUGGCCUACCAAGGCUAUGACGGUUAGGGGGUGUGAGAGCAUGACCCCCAGCAUUGGCACUGAAACACUGGCCAAACACCUACGGGUGGCUGCAGUCGAGAAUCUUCCACAAUGGGGGAAACCCUGAUGGAGCGAUGCUGCGUGCGGGAUGAAGGCCUUCGGGUUGUAAACCGCUUUUGUAGGGGACGAAAUUUUUGACGGUACCCUUUCGAAUAAGAGGUUGCUAACUCUGUGCCAGCAGCAGCGGUAAUACAGAGACCUCAAGCGUUAUCCGGAUUUACUGGGCGUAAAGCGUCUGUAGGGGGUUUAUUAAGUUCCAAGUAAAAUUUCAAGGCUCAACUUUGAAUUCGCUUGGAAAACUAAUAAACUGGAGUCUAGCAGAGGUGCAUGGAACUUGUGGUGUAGGAGUGAAAUCCGUUGAUAUCACAAGGAACACCAAAGGCGAAGGCAUUGCACUGGGCUAGCACUGACCCUGAGAGACGAAAGCGUGGGGAGCAAAACGGAUUAGAUACCCGUGUAGUCCACGCCCUAAACGAUGAAUGCUAAAUGUUCGGGGAUUCGACCCCCUGGGUGUUACAGCUAACGCGUUAAGCAUUCCGCCUGGGAAGUACGGCCGCAAGGCUAAAACUCAAAGGAAUAGACGGGGAUCCGCACAAGCGGUGGAGCGUCUGGUUUAAUUCGACAGUAAGCGUGGUACCUCACCAGGGUUUGACAUCCCUUGACAGCCUUGGAAACAAGGUUUCCUUCGGGCAAGGUGACAGGUGCUGCAUGGUCGUCGUCAGUUCGUGCCGUGAGGUGUUCCGUUAAGUCGGGAAACGAACGAAACCCCUAUUGCAUGUUACAAUUUCUCAUGCAAGACUGCCCGGAUAUACUGGGAGGAAGGUGGGGAUGACGUCAGAUCUGCAUGGUCCUUAUACCCUGGGCGACACAGGCGCUACAAUGGCAGAGACAAAGGGUUGCAAAACCGCAAGGUGAAGCUAAUCCCAAAAACUUUGUCUAAGUUCGGAUUGAAGGCUGCAAUUCGCCUUCAUGAAGCUGGAAUCGCUAGUAAUCGUGAAUCAGCCACGUCACGGUGAAUAUGUUCCCGGAUCUUGUACUCACCGCCCGUCACACCAAGAGAGUUGGUAGCUCCCNGAAGCGUCCCGUUUUAGCGGGGCAUCACGGAGAGAUCAGCGAU
rnacentral:rRNA from 1 species